rnacentral:tRNA from 1 species
UCCAUUUCUCAGUUGGUAGAGCACAAGACUCUUAACCUUGUGGUCAUGGGUUCAAGACCUAUGAUGGAG